rnacentral:misc_RNA from 1 species
UUUACUCGUAACAGGUUCCACGCGGAAGUAGAAUUUGGACAUGGCUGACGCAAACAUCAACAAUCGGGAACCAAAUUUAGAAAACGUGCAAAAUCAAUUGCAUGAGACAACUCUAAGCAACGCAGAAACAGAGCCUCCGCCGGUAGAGGAGGAGGUGGUUGAGAGGGAGAUAACACAGACGGACCAUUUAAACAAGCGACUUUUGUCCGCUUUUCUUGACCGGAUAAACGUCGGUAACUCGCAACCCGAACUUCCUCAGGUGGAACCGGUGGAAGACGAAGACUGGGAAGUAAAGAGCGAGGAUCGGGAGGAAGAGAAGUGAGACAUGACCGGAAAACCACCAAUCAUUAUAGGAAUAUCUGGGAUCACAAACAGUGGCAAGACCUCACUGACCAACAAACUGAGAGCCCACCUCCCUGGGUGCAGCACAAUCUGUCAGGACUCUUACUUCUUGAAUUAAAUGCCUUGGACAUGGAUGCAAUGAUAGCAGAUGUACAGACUUGGAAAGAUGCUCAAACCUCCGACCUUUUAGGACCCACCCCCAGCGAUCUCUAUAAUAAUGUACUCAUUCUGGACGGGUUCCGAAUGUAUGCUCUCAGGGAUUUGGAACAGAUGAUAAACAAGAAAUAUUUUAUAAGAGUUUCCUUUGAUGCUUGUAAAGUUAGACGAAGACUUUUCGGACAAGAAUUUCGAGAAACCCCAUAUGAAUAGUGUUGUGUAAUAUUUAAAGAUAGAUUUCAACUACUAUAUAAACAAGGCAUUACACCCCUCCAGACAAACCAGGGUAUUUUGAGAAGAUUGUAUGGCCCGAGUCGAUAAACCACCAGAGAGAAAUACAGGAUCAAGAUGAUAUAGAAUAUUUGGACGGGACGGCCAAUCAGGAGGAGUUAUGUCAAAGAGUCCUGUGUGAUAUCCAAAGACUAUGCAGGCUGUCCUCAUAGUUCGGUCCAGUGUGUGUUUUAUCAUGUCCCUUUUACAACGUUUACAUCCGGUUUUGACAUAGUAACUGUUAUACUAGAUUAAUGUUACAAUAAAAUAUGGAUUCUU